rnacentral:rRNA from 1 species
GAGCACGUAGGUGGGUUUGUAAGUCAGAUAUGAAAGCCUUCUGUUCAACGGAAGAAUUGCAUCUGAAACUGCGAGUCUUGAGUGUAGGAGGGGAGAAUGGAACUUCUGGUGGAGCGGUGAAAUGCGUAGAUAUCAGAAGGAACGCCGGCGGCGAAAGCGAUUCUCUGGCCUAUUACUGACACUCAGUGUGCGAAAGCUAGGGGAGCAAACGGGAUUAGAUACCCCGGUAGUCCUAGCCGUAAACGAUGGGCACUAAGUAGAGGGGUUUU